rnacentral:lncRNA from 1 species
GUAAGCUCAGCGAUCAGCAUGGCUACUGAAGUGGGCCAAGACACACUCAUAGAGGCUUUGAAAGAACUUGACGGAUUUGGUACAAAAUCUUUAGAAAAUGUAGGAAAGGACGUCGCCAAAGGUGGUUCUUUGCAAGAAAUUGUCGAUAAGAAAAUGCGUCCUUUAUUUGGUCUGAUGUCAGCUGGUGCCAAGUUCUUUAACAGUCUGGGUGUGAAAAACCAAAAGGAAGCAUAA